UGAUAUGUCUUUGGAUCAGAUUAAUCUACCAUUCGAUUAACUUUUGCUUCGUUUUUUUCAGUUCUUAGCCGACGUACGAGAGGGGUAGUUGAUCAUAGACUUGAACUUUUUGUUGGCAAGCCGGGUCCCCCAGGUAUCCCUGGACACCAAGGCCCACCAGGCAGAAUCUGAUCUAGAGGUCAGAAAGGCCACAAAGGCACCAGUGGAAACCCAGGUUUACGCGGACCGCCAGGCCCAUACGGGCAUCCUGGCUGGCCCGGACCACCAGGUCUUUUCGGCUUCCCGGGCGAGAUAGGUGAGAAGGGUUUCCCUGGAUACGACGGAAUCCCUGGGAUUAUCGGUGACGUAGGCUGGGCUGGUGUAAAUGGCAAACAUGGUUUUAGAGGCCCUCCUGGGUAUCUUGGUCAUGUGGGUUUUAUUGGUAUGCCCGGGCCUCCAGGCAUCAAAGGUGAUGUGGGGAUGCCAGUUAUGCUUGAUUGUUUACGUUUGUAGUAAACAGAAUUCAUUGUUACAUCUACACCGGAAUAAAACCGACUGAAAGCAACCAAAAAUGUCAAAUGAUUCAUGAGUAACUAGAUUCAAAAUAUGUAGCAAGUAACAUACCCCUUUACUUAAUUUUUGCUAUUGGAUAUAAUUAGUUACAAUGACUAACUUACGUAUUUUUAGUCCAAAAUUUUACACUUCUGUGCUAUAUAGCAGCUGUUUAUGAUGACAACAUAUUUCAGUUAUAUACAAUAGCUAUAGCUUUUGACUGUAUGUAUUUGCUUAAACACACAUCGGAUGAGUGCAAAUUGCAUUACAAUCUUGUAAUGGCUUAGUUGGCUAUCAUAAAUGUUAUUUUGCGAAACACUGAGCUUGUUCAAAUCUUAAUCAAAUCAAAAUAUUAAAAUAAGUUUAUCUCAUUUGUAACAUACUUAUAGCUCUACAUAAAUGUUGUAUUGUUUACAUUUAACUCGUGUCUAUUUUCUAAGGCAUCCAGGGAAUCGCCGGCGUUCCAGGUGACGUGAGAUUUUAUGGAGAAGCUGGUCUGAUGGAUGAACCUGGCUUUCAAGGACCAGAAGGGGAAAUGGGUCUCAAGGGGCCAAAUGGUGAAAGAGGAAAACAAGGAGACAUCGGACCAUGGGGACCUGUUGAAAGUCCGGCACCCAUGUAUGACCAUGUUUGGUGCUGCAUCGGCUGCAUUUGAUUACGAUGCUUUUAAAAAUGUAAACUGCUCAGAGACGGAUGAUGGCCAAUCAAAUUGCUCCUUCGAAAGUGGACCACCAGCUGAAAACAUCAGGAAGUCCAGAAAGAUGGCACUUCCGGUAUACAUGCACCCCCACCCGGUACGCAAGUAGUUCCGGUAGCAACUGGUCGUAUGAUUGGAAAGGCGCCUUUUAUAUAUGGACCACCACCACCGGGGACAAAAGUUCAAGGUCAAAGUGUUGAUAUAUCUAAGGUCACUACUUUUAUAUAAAUUGGUUUACAAAACCGACGGGUCUAAUUUUCCGAAAAGUACAAAAAAAAAUAAAAAAUGAAGUUCUCUUUUUUUCAAAAUUAUUUUCCCGACAGUAUUAAUUUUGGUGCGAAACGAAAGAAAUACGAACAGAUAACAGUACGAAUGCAGUAGAUCUCGACAGGUUUGUUGUUCCGUAGCCGUAUUCGCCAAUUUAUAGUAAUAGCAUGUGAGCCAGUCAACUGUUAUGGCAGCGCCGUUGGCAAUGGCGGAAUUGACGAUAGCAGUCAUUCUUUGUAUGAAAUAAUAAAUUAAAAUAUGCAGGGGUUGUUAAAAUAACAAUAGCAGUAAACAUUGGUAAAUUGUUACAAACAAUAACUGUCACGUGAUUGUUAUUUUUCCCCGCCAAUUUAGGCCAUGAAAAUAUUGUUGUUUAUAGAUAAAAAACAAAUAUAAGUGUCAGCGGCUGCCAUCGAAUUAGUAGACACAAAUAUCUGUAAAUUAUGUGUGAGAAAAACAUUUUAUAACAUUUUAUGGUUAAAUAUCAAAUGUGUGCAGUGCAGUAAGUGUGAGAUGUGAAAUCGAAAGUAAAAUUUCUAAGUUGACACCGGUGAGUAGUUUCACAAAUUCGGUCGGUGGUGUUUAUGGAUUUUAAAUCACAAAAUGGUUUGGAAAUACUUGUCAUCGAGUCAAAAUAAAGCUUGUGUUUAUUCUAGAUUACAUGUUUAUUCAUGUUUGGGUUAAUAUGAGUAAAAACAAUAAAAGAGUUGAACACAUGUGCCAAUGACAGUUACUAAUGCCAGUAGUUGUGUGCAAAACAUUUAGAUAAAACAACACUGCAAUUGGUAAUUAUUUCACUUUAUUGACAUUUUCCAAUAUUGAAAUAACUGAAACAAUAUUUAGAAAAUGUAAUGUAUUGUUAUAAUACAGUGCGUUUUUUUGUAUUUUAAUACGUAAAAUUCGCCUUCCCUUUUUUCAAUUUAAUAUGUGUCAGUUUUUAAGUGAUCUGCAUUCACUUUUGCUUUAGCAUACCCUUAAAGCUUAACACAUGUCUUGCUGAGUGAUAUUCAAUGUAUCUUUGAUACAAAGUGUAGUUUAUACAUGUAAACAUGUUUUAAAGUCAAUUGCAUUGAUGUUUUAUAUGCACAGUAUGUAAAAUUUAAACUGUAUGCUUAAUUAGAACUUUGAAAAUUUGAGUGUAUUAAAACAUGCAUUAAUAGCAGUUUAUUUUUUUUAAAUGUCACGUAAAUGAUAUAAAUUUUCAACGUUUUUAUGUUGUUCUCUGAUUGAUUUUCAGCCUUUAAGAGUAUGUUUUCUGUCUUUUUUUCCUUUUUCUGUUGUUUUUGUUCGACGACCCGGUGGACAUUUUUCCCAAAAAUUCUUGUAAACCAAAAAAUAAAAAAGGAGUGGCCUAAUGAAGAUAUUUUACGAGAUAUGAGCUACGAUUCUGAAGAUGGAGAUAUCUUGACGGAGGAAGAGUAUAUUAAACUGUUGAAGAAAGAGGAAGACGGUUUUAUUGAUGAUCAGUUUAACAAUGGAGCCAUAACAUCUACACCGGUACUAUUUUAAGAUCAAUUCAACAAUGAGACCACGACAUUUGCACCUGAGAUGUAUGAAGAUAUUUCAGAGGAAUAUUCUGAUGCACAUUCCGAAGAUUGAUCUGAUGAGAGUUCGUUUUCGUUAACAUACUGUUCACUUAUUCAGUGUUUGAUAUCAAGCAUAUUCAAACUAAUGUUUUUUUAUUGUUGUCAAAAUGCAACUUACGAUUUUAAAAAAAUGCAGUUGCAUACACAUACAUUUAGCUUAAAUCUAACAAACCUAUUUCUAUUAUAUAAUAAAUAGUAAGAGA